rnacentral:rRNA from 1 species
GAUGAACGCUGGCGGCGUGCCUAAUACAUGCAAGUCGAGCGCACAGACGAGGAGCUUGCUCCUCUGACGUUAGCGGCGGACGGGUGAGUAACACGUGGAUAACCUACCUAUAAGACUGGGAUAACUUCGGGAAACCGGAGCUAAUACCGGAUAAUAUAUUGAACCGCAUGGUUCAAUAGUGAAAGACGGUUUUGCUGUCACUUAUAGAUGGAUCCGCGCCGCCUUAGCUAGUUGGUAAGGUAACGGCUUACCAAGGCAACGAUGCGUAGCCGACCUGAGAGGGUGAUCGGCCACACGGGAACUGAGACACGGUCCAGACUCCUACGGGAGGCAGCAGUAGGGAAUCUUCCGCAAUGGGCGAAAGCUUGACGGAGCAACGCCGCGUGAGUGAUGAAGGUCUUCGGAUCGUAAAACGCUGUUAUUAGGGAAGAACAAAAGUGUAAGUAACUAUGCACGUCUUGACGGUACCUAAUCAGAAAGCCACGGCUAACUACGUG